rnacentral:misc_RNA from 1 species
GAUGAAGAACGUAGCGAAAUGCGAUAAGUAAUGUGAAUUGCAGAAUUCAGUGAAUCAUCGAAUCUUUGAACGCACAUUGCGCCCGCCAGUAUUCUGGCGGGCAUGCCUGUCCGAGCGUCAUUUCAACCCUCGAACCCCUCCGGGGGGUCGGCGUUGGGGAUCGGCCCUUUACGGGGCCGGCCCCGAAAUACAGUGGCGGUCUCGCCGCAGCCUCUCCUGCGCAGUAGUUUGCACACUCGCAUCGGGAGCGCGGCGCGUCAACAGCCGUUAAACACCCCAAACUUCUGAAAUGUUGACCUCGGAUCAGGUAGGAAUACCCGCUGAACUUAAGCAUAUCAAUAAGCGGAGGA